AUGAUUACAAUGCCUCGAUUUUGUUUGUUUAACAUAACUGCUCUGUUCUUCUCAGCUUAUCCAGUUUUUCAGAACAUGUUCUGGGAGUGUCAAGCAUUUAUUUUCAAGGUCGACAGUUCCUCGUCGAACGGUGGACCUUUUACCAAGUAUGGGGUCGCUUCAGGCAAGAGGAAUAAGUUUUCCUUCGCUGCUAUCUUGGUCGCAUGCUCCUUUCAGCAAGAACGUAACAACUUGAUGUUUGAAUGGUUCAAGGCUUAUGCUUUGUGCUUUGUAUCUCUCUGUCCGACAAGGUUUACGGUUUGUGUUUCGGCAAUUACCUUCUUUUCCUAUGUAGGUUGUGAUGAGGUCGUUCUUUUCUUUUGA
rnacentral:rRNA from 1 species